rnacentral:rRNA from 1 species
AUGAACGCUAGCGACAGGCCUAACACAUGCAAGUCGAGGGGCAGCACAAGGAGCAAUCUGAGGUGGCGACCGGCGCACGGGUGAGUAACACGUAUGCAACCUGCCUGUAAGCGGGGAAUAACCCGUUGAAAGACGGACUAAUACCGCAUAAUACUAAAUUACUGCAUGGUAAUUUAUUUAAACAUUUAUGGCUUACAGAUGGGCAUGCGCAUGAUUAGCUAGUUGGAGAGGUAACGGCUCCCCAAGGCAACGAUCAUUAGGGGUUCUGAGAGGAAGGUCCCCCACACUGGUACUGAGACACGGACCAGACUCCUACGGGAGGCAGCAGUGAGGAAUAUUGGUCAAUGGACGAGAGUCUGAACCAGCCAAGUCGCGUGCAGGAAGAAUUGUCCUAUGGAUUGUAAACUGCUUUUGCAGGGGAAUAAAGUGCAUCACGUGUGAUGUUUUGUAUGUACUCUGCGAAUAAGGAUCGGCUAACUCCGUGCCAGCCGCCGC